CGCGUAGGCGGCGGACCAAGUCGAGUGUGAAAGCCCCGGGCUCAACCUGGGAGGUGCGCUCGAGACUGGCCCGCUGGAGUUCGGGAGAGGAGAGUGGAAUUCCCAGUGUAGAGGUGAAAUUCGUAGAUAUUGGGAAGAACACCGGUGGCGAAGGCGGCUCUCUGGACCGAGACUGACGCUGAGGCGCGAAAGCGUGGGGAGCAAACAGGAUUAGAUACCCUGGUAGUCCACGCUGUAAACGAUGUGUGCUAGACGUUGGGGAGCGCAGCUCUUCGGUGUCGCAGCAAACGCUUUAAGCACACCGCCUGGGAGUACGGCCGCAAGGUUAAA
rnacentral:rRNA from 1 species